CGCACCUUCUCUGCGACACGAAGGUGACUUAACAGAGCUCCACAUCACACGAUACAAGACGGAAAGUAUGCAGGAGGGACACUUUCUGUGACAGGAGCUGCAUUGUUGACAUUGGCUUCCUGACGUCAUGCCGGCCCCCAUUCACAACAACGGCCAAGCCCCCCUCUGCUAUGGAGACGGAGCCCCCCCCGCCUUGGUUUCGCGUACUGAGACUGUACACGUCAUUAAAGUACGGAAGAUUAUUGUUUUUUAUUAAAGCUUUUUUGGUCUGCUCAAUAACAUUUCAGUAAAUAAUUUAAUAAUUUAAUUUACAAUUUCCCGAAACCCAAAUGGAUUCAUAUGUCUUGAAUCGAUGAAGUCCACAAACAUGAGAUAUUCUUACCAAUUAAAAGUAAAAAAAA
ensembl:lncRNA